rnacentral:rRNA from 1 species
GAUGAACGCUGGCGGCGUGCCUAACACAUGCAAGUCGAACGGAGUCCAGCCUUUAAGACCUCCGGGUCAAAGAGGGGAAGACUGAGUGGCGGACGGGUGAGUAACACGUGGGCAACCUGGCUCAUAGAGGGGGAUAACAGAGAGAAAUUUCUGCUAAUACCGCAUAAGCACACCCUGCCGCAUGGCAGAGGGUGCAAAGAGAAUCGCUAUGAGAUGGACCCGCGUCUGAUUAGCCAGUUGGCAGGGUAAGGGCCUACCAAAGCGACGAUCAGUAGCCGAUCUGAGAGGAUGAACGGCCACAGUGGGACUAGGAAACGGCCCAAACUCCUACGGGAGGCAGCAAUGGGGGAUAUUGCACAAUGGGGGGAACCCUGAUGCAGCGACGCCGCGAGAGUGAAGAAGUAUUUCAGUAUGUAAAGCUCUAUCAGCAAGGAAGAUAAUGACAGUACCUGAAUAAGAAGCCCCGGCUAACUACGUG